rnacentral:rRNA from 1 species
CGGACGGGUGAGUAAUGUCUGGGAAACUGCCUGAUGGAGGGGGAUAACUACUGGAAACGGUAGCUAAUACCGCAUAACGUCGCAAGACCAAAGAGGGGGACCUUCGGGCCUCUUGCCAUCGGAUGUGCCCAGAUGGGAUUAGCCAGUAGGUGGGGUAACGGCUCACCUAGGCGACGAUCCCUAGCUGGUCUGAGAGGAUGGCCAGCCACACUGGAACUGAGACACGGUCCAG